GACAGCUUAGCCAAGUGGUUACGGCGACAGACUUGAAAUCUGUUCCCUUCGGGGGCGCAGGUUCGAACCCUGCAGUUGUCG
rfam:Polysphondylium pallidum PN500 unplaced genomic scaffold PPL_scaffold2, whole genome shotgun sequence.